GUGGGGAAUAUUGCACAAUGGGCGAAAGCCUGAUGCAGCAAUGCCGCGUGUGUGAAGAAGGCCUGCGGGUUGUAAAGCACUUUCGGUAGGGAAGAUUAUGACGGUACCUACAGAAGAAGCACCGGCUAACUCCGUGCCAGCAGCCGCGGUAAUACGGAGGGUGCGAGCGUUAAUCGGAAUUACUGGGCGUAAAGCGCGCGUAGGCGGUCUAGUAAGUCGGAUGUGAAAGCCCCGGGCUUAACCUGGGAAUUGCGUUCGAUACUGCCUGACUAGAGUAUGGUAGAGGGAAGCGGAAUUCCGGGUGUAGCGGUGAAAUGCGUAGAUAUCCGGAGGAACACCAGUGGCGAAGGCGGCUUCCUGGACCAAUACUGACGCUGAGGUGCGAAAGCGUGGGGAGCAAACAGGAUUAGAUACCCCUGUAGUCC
rnacentral:rRNA from 1 species